rnacentral:hammerhead_ribozyme from 1 species
GCACUACUGGGGAGUCCUACAAUAGGACGGAACGGCCGUCCAGUGC